rnacentral:rRNA from 1 species
CCUACGGGGGGCUGCAGUGAGGAAUAUUGGUCAAUGGACGAGAGUCUGAACCAGCCAAGUAGCGUGAAGGAUGACUGCCCUAUGGGUUGUAAACUUCUUUUAUAAAGGAAUAAAACGAGGCACGUGUGCCUUUUUGCAUGUACUUUAUGAAUAAGGAUCGGCUAACUCCGUGCCAGCAGCCGCGGUAAUACGGAGGAUCCGAGCGUUAUCCGGAUUUAUUGGGUUUAAAGGGAGCGUAGAUGGGUUGUUAAGUCAGUUGCGAAAGUUUGCGGCUCAACCGUAAAAUUGCAAUUGAUACUGGCAGUCUUGAGUACAGUUGAGGUAGGCGGAAUUCGUGGUGUAGCGGUGAAAUGCUUAGAUAUCACGAAGAACCCCGAUUGCGAAGGCAGCUUACUAAACUGUGACUGACAUUGAUGCUCGAAAGUGUGGGUAUCAAACAGGAUUAGAUACCCGGGUAGUC